rnacentral:siRNA from 1 species
UGAAGAACGUAGCGAAAUGCGAU